GUGGGGUAAUUUUUCCGCAAUGGGCGAAAGCCUGACGGAGCAAUGCCGCGUGGAGGUGGAAGGCCUACGGGUCGUCAACUUCUUUUCUCGGAGAAGAAACAAUGACGGUAUCUGAGGAAUAAGCAUCGGCUAACUCUGUGCC
rnacentral:rRNA from 1 species